rnacentral:rRNA from 1 species
UACGGGGGGGGCAAGCGUUGUUCGGAAUUACUGGGCGUAAAGGGCUCGUAGGUGGCCAACUAAGUCAGACGUGAAAUCCCUCGGCUUAACCGGGGAACUGCGUCUGAUACUGGAUGGCUUGAGGUUGGGAGAGGGAUGCGGAAUUCCAGGUGUAGCGGUGAAAUGCGCAGAUAUCAGGAGGAACACCAAUGGCGAAGGCAGCACUCUGGGACGUGACUGACGCUGAGACGCGAAAGCGUGGGGAGCAAACAGG